rnacentral:rRNA from 2 species
AUCCUGGCUCAGGAUGAACGCUGGCGGCGUGCUUAACACAUGCAAGUCGAACGGUGAAAGCGGAGCUUGCUCCGCCGGAUCAGUGGCGAACGGGUGAGUAACACGUGAGCAACCUGCCCCGGACUCUGGGAUAAGCGCUGGAAACGGCGUCUAAUACCGGAUACGAGCUGCGAAGGCAUCUUCAGCAGCUGGAAAGAAUUUCGGUCCGGGAUGGGCUCGCGGCCUAUCAGCUAGUUGGUGAGGUAACGGCUCACCAAGGCGUCGACGGGUAGCCGGCCUGAGAGGGUGACCGGCCACACUGGGACUGAGACACGGCCCAGACUCCUACGGGAGGCAGCAGUGGGGAAUAUUGCACAAUGGGCGCAAGCCUGAUGCAGCAACGCCGCGUGAGGGACGACGGCCUUCGGGUUGUAAACCUCUUUUAGCAGGGAAGAAGCCUUCGGGUGACGGUACCUGCAGAAAAAGCGCCGGCUAACUACGUGCCAGCAGCCGCGGUAAUACGUAGGGCGCAAGCGUUAUCCGGAAUUAUUGGGCGUAAAGAGCUCGUAGGCGGUCUGUCGCGUCUGCUGUGAAAUCCCGAGGCUCAACCUCGGGCCUGCAGUGGGUACGGGCAGACUAGAGUGCGGUAGGGGAGAUUGGAAUUCCUGGUGUAGCGGUGGAAUGCGCAGAUAUCAGGAGGAACACCGAUGGCGAAGGCAGAUCUCUGGGCCGUAACUGACGCUGAGGAGCGAAAGGGUGGGGAGCAAACAGGCUUAGAUACCCUGGUAGUCCACCCCGUAAACGUUGGGAACUAGUUGUGGGGUCCAUUCCACGGAUUCCGUGACGCAGCUAACGCAUUAAGUUCCCCGCCUGGGGAGUACGGCCGCAAGGCUAAAACUCAAAGGAAUUGACGGGGACCCGCACAAGCGGCGGAGCAUGCGGAUUAAUUCGAUGCAACGCGAAGAACCUUACCAAGGCUUGACAUAUACGAGAACGCUGCAGAAAUGUAGAACUCUUUGGACACUCGUAAACAGGUGGUGCAUGGUUGUCGUCAGCUCGUGUCGUGAGAUGUUGGGUUAAGUCCCGCAACGAGCGCAACCCUCGUUCUAUGUUGCCAGCACGUAAUGGUGGGAACUCAUGGGAUACUGCCGGGGUCAACUCGGAGGAAGGUGGGGAUGACGUCAAAUCAUCAUGCCCCUUAUGUCUUGGGCUUCACGCAUGCUACAAUGGCCGGUACAAAGGGCUGCAAUACCGUAAGGUGGAGCGAAUCCCAAAAAGCCGGUCCCAGUUCGGAUUGAGGUCUGCAACUCGACCUCAUGAAGUCGGAGUCGCUAGUAAUCGCAGAUCAGCAACGCUGCGGUGAAUACGUUCCCGGGUCUUGUACACACCGCCCGUCAAGUCAUGAAAGUCGGUAACACCUGAAGCCGGUGGCCCAACCCUUGUGGAGGGAGCCGUCGAAGGUGGGAUCGGUAAUUAGGACUAAGUCGUAA